UUCCUACGGGGGGCAGCAGUAGGGAAUCUUCCACAAUGGACGAAAGUCUGAUGGAGCAACGCCGCGUGAGUGAAGAAGGGUUUCGGCUCGUAAAGCUUUGUUGGUAGUGAAGAAAGAUAGAGGUAGUAACUGGCCUUUAUUUGACGGUAAUUACUUAGAAAGUCACGGUUAACUACGUGCCAGCAGCCGCGGUAAUACGUAGGUGGCAAGCGUUGUCCGGAUUUAUUGGGCGUAAAGCGAGUGCAGGCGGUUCAAUAAGUCUGAUUGUGAAGCCUUCGGGCCAACCG
rnacentral:rRNA from 1 species